rnacentral:rRNA from 1 species
UACGUAGGGGGCAAGCGUUGUCCGGAAUCAUUGGGCGUAAAGCGCGUGUAGGCGGCCAGAAAAGUCCGCUGUGAAAACUCGAGGCUCAACUUCGAGCUGUCGGUGGAAACUUUCUGGCUAGAGUCCGGAAGAGGAGAAUGGAAUUCCCGGUGUAGCAGUGAAAUGCGUAGAGAUCGGGAGGAACAUCAGUUGCGAAGGCGGCUCUCUGGACCAGCACUGACACUGAGGCACGAAAGCGUGGGGAGCAAACAGG